CAGAAAAGGGAGACACAUCAAGUUUAGGUAAACAUUGAGCAGAUGCUGAGACUGAGAUGUUGGAAGGGGCAGAAUUAGCUCAUACAGAUACAUUAAGGUAGCGUUUACUUUUUGGAUUGGAUUGGGAAUCCUGGGGAGUGGGAAUCCUAAGAUUGGGAGUGUGGAGUGGGAGUGGGAGUAUGUUGUUUACUUACACUAGAAUGGAAGCAUGGAAUGGAGUUCAGAAUCCAAUUUAUGUGUUUACUUUGUCUUGGAUUGGGAGUAAAUAGUUUCAAAUUACAAUUUUAUCCUUAUUUAAAGAAUUAUAAUUUUUAAUUACAAAACUAAUAAAAAAUAUAUUUAAUGAAUAAUAUUUAUUUUAUUAUAUUUGUAAAUUUAUUAUAAUUAUUAAUAUUCUUAAUUAUGAACAAUAAAUUAUUAAUUGUAAUUUUAAUAUAAAAUGAAAUGUUAUUUUAUUUUAUUUAAUAUAAUUAUAUUAAAUUUAUUAUUAUAUAAAAUAAUAAUAUAAUAUUAUUUAGUACAAAAUUAAUAUUUUCUUAGAAUAAAGUAUUUAUUAUUAUUAUUAAAUAAAUAUAGUACUAUUAUUUUUAAAAUAAAUAUAAUAAUAUUAUAUUUAUUAAUUCUCUAUUAAUAUAAUAAUAUUAUUUUAAAAUAAUUUUAACUUAGAAUCAAUGUAAAUUAUUAUUUAGUUAAAUAUAAUAUUAUUAUUUAAAUAAAUAUAAUAUUAUUUAUUUUAUUUUAUUAAUUAUAAAAUAUAAAAUAAAAAAAAAGGGUAGAAAUGGGAGAGGUGGGAGUGGAUUCCCACUCCCAUCUCCCCCAAUGGGAGUCCCACUCCCACUCCCCACUCCAAAAAUGGGUGGGGCCCACGGAGUGGGACUUCCAAUCCCUCCCCAUUUUAAGUAAGUAAACGCUGGAGUGGGAGGAAUCCACACUCCUCACUCCCACUCCAGCAAGUAAACAUAACAUAAGAAGAGUAUCCAUUCGUUGGCCUCCAUUCCUUGUGCUGAACUCAUCAAGGAAGUAAUCGCAGUGGGCAUCAAAUUUCUGUCCAACUUGAUAAGGGAGGACUUGAAUUCCUUCUCCAUGUUCUGUAGAUGAA
rnacentral:lncRNA from 1 species